AGAAUGUUAACAAUCUCUUAAUUUGAUAUUGCAUGAUUUCAAAAACAUUUUUGUGCCAAAUUGUCAUACUUCUCCUCUAUUUCAUCCUUUCUCCGAGGACAGUAUGGGUUCCAGCUCUGAAAUGCAAAUACCAGCCCCGGUGCUCUGGCUUCCCUCGCAAAGGUUAAGAACACAUUUAUCGUGCUGUUCCUGGCGGUCGGAAAAGGGCAGGAGAUGGGGACCGAGACAAGGGCUCUGGCACCGCACAGGACCCAGCUCAGCCACAGCCAGCUUCAUAACCAUAGGGCCAUCCACCUCCUCCUCAGGGGAGAAGAGCCCUCCCAGCUUUCUGGGGGUGCCCCUUGCGUCAGGCUGCAGCUCCCCAAGAGGAUCCAGGGAAAGGAGCUCAUGUUCACACCACAACACCAGUUCUACAAGGAAGUGAAGGGCCGGGAUGGCACUUUCUCAGCUGCCAGCUCGUGAGUCAUUAUUUCCUUUGGCUUUCCUCUCCCACUAGCUGCUUCCUUCAGUCACGCAACCCUAUUUAUCAGCUGGAGACAGACAUCAAAGCGCAGGGUUUCCACCCGCUCCUCCCAGGAAGGCAGACGGUCCCUGCUCACGACACGGGUGCUCAUGCUUAGCCCCUCACUCUGCUGCCACCGGGAGCUGGGGGGGGUCCACAUCCCAACCCUGUGCCCCAGCAGUCCCCCAGGACCCCUUUGGCUCUCCCAUGGUCCCAACCCCACCGCCAACACCCCCAGGAGCCAGGCUCCCCAGGCCUCCCUCCUUGCACUGCAGGCUGGAUGGGCUCUUGGCAUUUUGUUGGAUUUAAGGGGGAGAAAAAGUCAUUCAGUCAGUGCUGAUUUCCUAACUCAGUGUAACCUUUUCACUUCCAAGCUAAGGACAGCUUGACAUUUCCUCUGCAUCCCUGGGAGAGGAUACAAAACCUCUCAGCUUUGCUCCUGACACCACUGCACAUCUCUGGGACACAUUGUGCAUCAUCAAACGUGAAAAACAUUCAACUAAUUUUUAAAGCCCGUACUCACUGGUUCAGCCACUUGACUCACCAUCGUUGAAAACCUGCAGCGUGUGCAGCUCUGUUCUGCCCUCUCCACUGUGCUCCCUGCCAUGGCUGUGAGACGGUGAAGCUGAUUUUAUCGCAAGGGAACCCAGAAUCAAUUCCCACCAUCUUCCAGGCGCUCCCUUCAUUGCCUGGGUGAUGAACUGUAAGCACACAUUGCCUUCGUGUCCCCUGUACCCCUCUGUGCCCUGGCACAGUGUGUGAGCGGCCACGGCAGGCAGUCCCACCAUCCCACCGGGCACUGGGUGUUAUGGGACGCCAGCUGACAGUGCUGCCCUACAUCUCCUUGGGGUUUGGGUGAGGGAGUUGACUGCGUUGGCACUUCAUAUUUUUAUUUUUUCAUUUCUUGGAGGCCAGCCUUUGA
rnacentral:lncRNA from 1 species